UGUCACGUGAUUGGUAUUUGCUUCAGGUUAUAGCCAAGUUCAUAUCGAUUUUUCUAGAGCAAUAUACAGUGCCGGUUUGACCAGGGGUCUUUUGGGUGCUAUAGCACCGGGCGGUAAAUCUUAGAAGGGCGGCGUCGCCCUUAAGUUUACCACAAAAUUAGCUACUCCCGCCUUUUAUUAUUAAAUAAUAAAAUUUUAAAACCACAAUCGAAAAAAGCGACAACUUAUUUCAGAGAUUACUAUACUUCGCAGAACCCAGACCUAUAAAAAAUGUAAAAAAUAAAAGGUAGGUAUUUUAUUAAUUCAAUUGCCUUAUUUGCUAACAGACAUCUAUUAUUAAAAUCGUAAAGUGGAAUAUGAAUGCGAAAUUACGAGUUAAAGCCCCGCCACCAACGGUAAUUAAAAUCGCCAAUGCCCAGCCCUAGUUUCCUACCUGUACAGCUCCGCAUUACUGCCUAUGACAAGCGAUAAAAUUUAGCCGCCAAUUAUUUCAAAACAACAAUUAUUUGGCGGUGCAGUAUAAAAAGAAUUGGCGGUAUAAAUUGGUGAUGUUAGAAAGUUUAGAAUUAUAGGUUUACUUUAAAAUUACAGUAAGUUUGGCGUUUAGUUUAAUCGGUGAUAUUAUUCGGAUAAGGAUUUUUAAAAGAUUAAACGGCAAUUAAAUACGGAAAUGGACGGACGAAAGUUAUCUGGCUCGUAUUGGCGUAAAAAAAAACUGGAAAAACAGCAAAAGGAAAAGAAAGCUUUAGAAAACACUCUUAAACUCACAAGUUUUUUUACACGGGGUAUCGCAGACGUAGACGAGAGCAGAAGUAUAUGCGAACCUCAACCUGGACCAAGUACGAGCACUAGCCUUGCAAAUGAGAUGAAUACCCAAGAGACCGGUCUUGAGAUGGAGCCACAGGAAAGUCUUUUGCAAAAUAAUACAGUUGGUGAUAGUAUUAUAGAUGCAAAAACAGACGAUUGGACCGAAUUUAAGGAUCCGGCACUUUGGAAGGAUGGUCAAAAUUUUGUGCAAAUUCUUUUGGAUAAUUGGACCGAAUAAAUUCUUGAUAAAAUUGACUUUUCAAUGUCUAAAAGAAAACAUGGGGAUCAAAAUAGGUAUGCUACCAAGCAAAUU